CAAAAACAUGUCUUUUUGAUUAUAAUUUAAAGUCUAACCUGCCCAAUGAGGAGUUAAAUGGCCGCGGUAUUUUGACCGUGCAAAGGUAGCAUAAUCAUUAGUUUUUUAAUUGAAAGCUGGUAUGAAUGGUUGGACGAGAAAAUAACUGUCUCGAUUUAAAUUAAAUUAGAAUUUUAUUUAUGAGUAAAAAAGCUCAUAUGAGUUUAAAAGACGAGAAGACCCUAUAGAAUUUAAUAUAUAUAUGUAUAUAUUAUUUUUAGAAUUAAUAAUAAGUUAUAUAUAAUUAUAUUUUGUUGGGGUGAUAGAAAAAUUAAAUUAACUUUUUUUAUAUAAAAACAUUAAUGUAUGAAAAAAUGAUCCGUUAAUUACGAUUAUAAGAUUAAAUUACCUUAGGGAUAACAGCGUAAUUUUUUUUUAGAGUUCUUAUCGAAAAAAGAGUUUGCGACCUCGAUGUUGGAUUAAAAUUAACUUUUGGUGUAGGGGCU
rnacentral:rRNA from 1 species